AGAGUUUGAUCAUGGCUCAGAAUGAACGCUGGCGGCGUGCCUAACACAUGCAAGUCGAGCGAGAAAGUUCCUUCGGGGAAUGAGUAAAGCGGCGGACGGUUGAGUAACACGUGAGAAUCUACCCUUUAGUGAAGAAUACCUUCGAGAAAUCGAAAUUAAUACUGCAUAAGUCCCUUCGGGGAGAAAAGUGGCCUCUUUGCUACUGCUAAAGGAUGAGCUUGCGGACUAUCAGCUAGUUGGUGAGGUAAAGGCUCACCAAGGCUAUGACGGUUAGCCGGCCUGAGAGGGUGAACGGCCAGACUGGAACUUAGACACGGUCCAGACUCCUACGGGAGGCAGCAGUGAGGAAUAUUGCGCAAUGGGCGAAAGCCUGACGCAGCGACGCCGCGUGGAGGAUGAAGGUUUUCGGAUCGUAAACUCCUGUUAAGUGGGAAGAAAAGUCUGUGGUUAAUACCCGCAGAAAAUGACGGUACCAUUAUAGAAAGCACCGGCUAACUACGUG
rnacentral:rRNA from 1 species